rnacentral:rRNA from 1 species
CCUACGGGAGGCAGCAGUAGGGAAUCUUCCGCAAUGGACGAAAGUCUGAUGGAGCAACGCCGCGUGAGUGAAGAAGGGUUUCGGCUCGUAAAGCUCUGUUGGUAGUGAAGAAAGAUAGAGGUAGUAACUGGCCUUUAUUUGACGGUAAUUACUUAGAAAGUCACGGCUAACUACGUGCCAGCCGCCGCGGUAAUACGUAGGUGGCAAGCGGUGUCCGGAUUUAUUGGGCGUAAAGCGAGUUCAGGCGGUUCAAUAAGUCUGAUGUGAAAGCCUUCGGCUCAACCGGAGAAUUGCAUCAGAAACUGUUGAACUUGAGUGCAGAAGAGGAGAGUGGAACUCCAUGUGUAGCGGUGGAAGGCGUAGAUAUAUGGAAGAACACCAGUGGCGAAGGCGGCUCUCUGGUCUGCAACUGACGCUGAGGCUCGAAAGCAUGGGUAGCGAACAGGAUUAGAUACCCCAGUAGUC